rnacentral:rRNA from 1 species
GAUCAUGGCUCAGGAUGAACGCCAGCUACAGGCUUAACACAUGCAAGUCGAGGGGCAGCAUGAACUUAGCUUGCUAAGUUUGAUGGCGACCGGCGCUACGGGUGAGUAACACGUAUCUAACCUUCCGUUUACUCAGGGAUAGCCUUUACGAAAGAAAGAUUAAUACCUGAUAGUAUGGUGAGAUUGCAUGAUAACACCAUUAAAGAUUAUUGGUAAACGAUGGGGUAUGCGUUCCAUUAAGGG